rnacentral:ribozyme from 1 species
UCAGCAGUUCUUCACGAGAUUUUCCGAGAACGGCAAUAGAUGCGUCGAUGUCACGGUCU